AGUGGUUUUUGUUUUUAAACCUUGUUCUUCCUUGUUUGACACUAGAUUAAGAUUGAGAGCUAAGAGCAACAGUAUGAAGAUUUUGUCAGUAUCUGUUCAGAACCUGCAGAAUUCACCUUUGAGCGGUAAAGAUGAAUAUGACUGUACUUCAGAGCCAUUCGUAAAACCAAAGUUAUCUUCCACAACGGUGAACAUGAUAAAGACUUUAAGAACAAUUGAGAAAUGUCUACAGAAACAAAACAUCACCUUGGAUACUUCCAAACACAUUAUAAGAGACCUGGCAACGGAGUUGUAUAGAGUCACAACAAAGGUUUUGGGACAAUCCCAAGCUUACAACAUGGUGGAUGACUUAAGUGUGAAAGAAUGUGAAGUUUUUAUUAUCAGAUGGUCUGAAGAACUGAAGUGUUUAAAGUCAGCAUACAAGGAUAACCAUGGCAAGUUUUCCAAUGUUGAGAGAUUCAGGAGGAGUCUGGAAGGUCUAAACAUCACAGAAAAUCAAGUUCAGAAACUGAGAGAAGCUCAAAAAGAUUUUCAUUGGCUUAUUCAUAUUUUGCAGUCACUUCCAAAGUCUUCAGUGUGUCUAGAAGAAUGCGCUAGAGUAGAGGAUCUCUACAGACAGUGGAAGAAAGGACAGCUGAUCAACAUGCUUCCUAUCAUGGACUUCAUUAUGAAGACGCUACUAAAAGAAAAGGAUUCUAGUUUGAAACAGAGGCUUCAACACAGAUCUGCUAGAUGGAAAAAAGAGCUACAAGUGGAACAUCUCUUAUCUCCUCUGUUGCCUCCAUGGCCUUCAUUUCUUCAGAACACUCCUCCUUCUCAGGGCCUCCAGUUUCCACAGAAUCCUCUUCUUUUCCUGACCCAUCCCACUCCCUAGAGACUUGGACCUCCUCUGGACCCUCUAUCCCAAAGGAUACCUCCUCCUUUCCCAAAGUUUCCACCUGUUCAGUGUCAACAGCAAGUCCCACAGCUUCAUCUAGAGCCUUCUCACCUUUACUGUCUGCAGUCUCAAAAGGUUGUCUGAAGAUGACUUGAGGUGUAAACAGAGGGAAGACCCUGAGAUGAAUGAAGUCAUUGGCUAUCUAGACUCCAGUGAGAAGCCGCCUAAUGUGAAAGGUAGGCCACUGAACAUUGUUUUGUGACUUAAGGAAUGGAACAAGUUUGAGAUGAUAAAUAGGCUAUUGUAUCGUAAGCGUACGGAUCAAGGAAGGUACAGAGACAGUUAGCGUUGCCCAAAAGUCUCAGAGAUAUGGUGCUUACUUGUUUGCACGAUGAUAUGGGCCACUUAGGCAUAGAGAGGACUCUAGAUCUUCUUCGUUCUCGGUUUUAUUGGCCACGAAUGGCCAAUGCUGUAGAAAGAAAAAUCCGAACUUGUGAGCGCUGUGUCAGGAGGAAGUCCACAGUCCAGAAGGCUGCUCCAUUGGUAAAUAUACAGACUAGCAGACCACUGGAGCUAGUCUGUAUGGACUUCUUGUCAGUAGAACCUGACAGCAGCAACACAAAAGACAUCCUGGUCAUUACAGACCAUUUUACAAAAUACGCAUUCGCAAUUCCCACUCGAAAUCAGAAGGCUCAAACGGUUGCUAGGUGUCUCUGGGACCAAUUUUUAGUGCAUUACGGUUUCCCAGAGAAGCUACACAGUGAUCAAGAUUUCGAGUCCAACACCAUCCGGGAAUUGUGUAAGAUUCCUGGUAUUCGUAAUGUUAGAACGACGCCCUACCACCCUAGGGGAAACCCAGUAGAGCGAUUUAACAGAACUUUAUUGUAGAUGCUGGGUACCCUAGAAAACAAACAGAAAGCUCACUGGAAGGAGUAUGUCAAGCCGCUGAUGUACGCGUACAAUUGUACCAGAAACGAUGUCACAGGCUAUUCUCCAUAUGAGCUGAUGUUUGGCAGGCAGCCCCGGUUGCCACUGGAUAUUGCUUUCGGUCUAUUGAAUGAUGAACCGUGCCAUUCUCACUCAAAGUAUGUGACCUCCCUAAAGAGUAGACUGGAAGAAAGCUACAAGUUAGCUUUGGAGAAUAGUAGGAAAGUGGCCGAACGGAACAAAAAGAGAUUUGACACAAAUGUGCUGGCUUCUGUUUUGGAAGUGGGUGAUAGGGUGUUAGUAAGAAAUGUUCGAUUGAGGGGGAAACAAAAACUGUCGGAUAAGUGGGAAUCAGAUGUGUACACUGUGUUAAAGAAAGCACAGAAUGUUCCAGUGUAUACCGUUUGUCCUGAGGGGAAGGAUGGUCCCGUCCGCACUCUUCACCGAGACCUGCUUUUACCUUGUGGGUUUUUACCUGGUGUUGAGUUGGAAGAGACUACCUUACCUGGUGUGCGUCCAAAGUGUCAAACAAAACCUCACUCUAGUGCACAAAAAGCUGACAAAAUAGAACGUUUAGAUGAUGACGAAGACUCAGAAAGUAAAUCUCCUCGCUGUUUUGUACCUAGAGGACCAGUAGAGGUGAUUUCUCGUUACAUCCCACCUGAACGUUCUUCCUGUCAUUUGGAGUGUUCCCCAGUUGCAGAUCCAGUUGAGCUUGAGGCAGCAGGUAUUAGCCGACCAAAUGUUGAUCUUCUGGAAGACAAACAACAUGAAGUCCGUGAGGCAUGUGAACAAAUAUGUGAUGAAAUGAGUGAGAACUUACCUGGAAGGGACGGAGUGGAUUCAGAGAAUGUAGAGGUUGAUCUUGCAGAAUGUGGAGACACUGACGACACUGUAAUAGUCUCUGGGGAGGUUGGUUGUGAUACCCCUGAGGUUGUUAACGGGUCUCCUGAGACAUUGGAGAAUGUAGUUGCAAAUCCAGUUGAAGAACUAAGGGUUGUUCAGGAUGAGGGGAACAGUCGUACACCUGACAUGAUACCUGAAGAUGGUUCAAGUGAAGGUAUGCCAGAGGAUGAAAAUCCACGAUGUGAGGGUGAGGGUGUAAGACGCUCUGUAAGGCAGAUUAAACCCCCAAAGAAAUUUCACUAUCCCCAUUUAGGCAAUCUUGGUGAGUUAGCAAUGUUAUUUCAGGUGUUAUUCUGUGUGAAAGAUGCAUAUAAGUGAAAUGUGAAAAAAAUUAUACUAUAUUUGAGUUCAUGUAUGAAUCAUGAAUGUGUUUUGCAAGACCACAUGUCAUACAUUUAUGCUUAUGGGUUCAUUUGUAAAAUGAGAUCGUCAUUUUGUAAAUUUUGUUAAAUGUGAUGCGUGAAUGCUCUGAAAAUGAUAUUAAUGACUUUUUUGUGACCUUGUUAUUCAAGGCCAGGUUUAUUUUUCCGUUCUUUUUUUUCCUUCUCUCCUUUGUUUUAUUUCUGAUUCGGGUUCAUCGUUGCCUGUCGAGUGUGUGCUGCAAGCUUGGAGUUGACGCUGUGUGGAGAUCCAUACUUCAUGGAAUGGAGUUUCCGGUUUCCCGGAUUUUGUCCAAACUCUCCUGUUCCCAGAGGGAUUGAGUGACUGGCGAGCUGCAAGGAGUUCUCAUCACGUGGUACUGAGUGACACUGACAUUUCUGUUGUCGACCUGGACGGUAGGAAAGUGAACUAGCAGUAUAAACAGCGCAUUUUACUACUCCGGUUUGGAAAGAUCUAAUAGAAGAGACUAACGAACAAUUUCAUUGUCGUUAACUGAAUUCAGCCGCAUUCACAAGGUUGUGAAUAGACCUCGAGUACUGAAUCACAAGACUCUUGAAAAUUGAGCUUUGAAUCCACGUUUGGGUUUGGUCAAGUUUAUUUGGGUUUUCUUUCUAAUUGUAUUUUCUUUCUAAGUUGAUUGUGUAAUUGUUUUUGUUGUUUGUUUUUUUUUGUUGGUUCCUAUUUUUUUUCAAAUGUGAUACAAGGAAGAAAAACAUAUUCCUCAAAUUCCAAAAAGGGUGUCAAAUAAGGGUUGAGUUUUAUAUUAUUCAGGAAUCAAGCUUUCAAUGAAAUUGAUUACACUGAAUUAUUGA